rnacentral:rRNA from 1 species
AUACAAUUAAAUUAUUUUAGCUUUAAUUAAUUGAUAAUUUUGAAUUUAAAUUAUAAAUUUAAUAAGUGAAAUUUUAAAUUUUAUAAAGAUUUAUAUUUUGUUAAUGAUUUAAAAAAUUUUAAUAAUAGACUAGGAUUAGAUACCCUAUUAUUUAAAAUGUAAUUUUAAAAGCUAAAUUAGUAUAAGAUAUGUUCUCGAAAAUUAAAGAUUUUGGCGGUAUUUUAGUCUAUUCAGAGGAACCUGUUCUAUAAUUGAUAAUCCACGAUUUAAUUUACUUGCUUUAUUAAUUUAUAUAUCGUCGUAGUUUGAAUAUUUUAGUAGAAUUUUAAUAUUCAAGAUUUUUAAUAAUAAAAAAAAUCAGAUCAAGGUGUAGUUUAUAAGUAAGAAGAAAUGGGUUACUAUAAUAAAAAUUUAGGAUAAUUAUUUUUGAAUAUAAUUUGAAUAAGGAUUUGAAGGUAAUUUUAAUUAAUUAAUUAAAAUGAUUUUAGCUCUAAAAUAUGUACACAUCGCCCGUCACUCUUACUGUGGCGUCGUU